rnacentral:lncRNA from 1 species
UUUUUGAUUAGUAUCUAUGUUUAAGUUUUGGUGUUUAAAUUUGAAAAGGUUAAAUUUGAUGUUUGGAUUUUAUGAUUUGGGGUAUAAGAUUUAGAGUUAUAGUAUAUGGUUUGGAAUAUAGUGUUUGAAGUUUAGUAGUUUUGGAAAUAAUUUUUAAAAAAUAUUACAUUUUGAGUUUAAGUUGAUAUUUGUUGUUAAACUUUGAAAAUAUUAGAGUUAAUGUUUAGAUUUAUGAUUUUGGAUAUAGAAUUUAUAUAUAGAGUUUAGAGUUUGAAAUAUAGUGUUUGAGUUUAGAUUUAGAAUUUGAAAAGUUAUUUUAAAAGUGAUUA